rnacentral:rRNA from 1 species
GACAGAGGUGCCGAGCGUUAGGCGGAAUCACUGGGCUUAAAGCGUGUGUAGGCGGAUUUUUAAGUACCUUGUGAAAUCCCUCGGCUCAACCGAGGAACUGCAUCCGAUACUAGCGGGCUUGAAUCCGGAAGAGGGAUGUGGAAUUCCAGGUGUAGCGGUGAAAUGCGUAGAUAUCUGGAGGAACACCGGUGGCGAAGGCGGCAUCCUGGACCAACACUGACGCUGAGGAGCGAAAGCCAGGGGAGCAAACGGG